CCUACGGGUGGCAGCAGUGGGGAAUAUUGGACAAUGGGGGGAACCCUGAUCCAGCGACGCCGCGUGAGUGAAGAAGUAUUUCGGUAUGUAAAGCUCUAUCAGCAGGGAAGAAAAUGACGGUACCUGACUAAGAACCCCCGGCUAACUACGUGCCAGCAGCCGCGGUAAUACGUCGGGGGCAAGCGUUAUCCGGAUUUACUGGGUGUUAAGGGAGCGUAGACGGUGCAGCAAGUCUGAUGUGAAAGGUCGGGGGGCAACCCCGGGACUGCAGUGGAAACUGUUGAACUGGAGUGCAGGAGAGGUAAGCGGAAGGCCUAGUGUAGCGGUGAAAUGCGUAGAUAUUAGGAAGAACACCAGUGGCGAAGGCGGCUUACUGGACUGUAACUGACGUUGAGGCUCGAAAGCGUGGGGAGCAAACAGGAUUAGAUACCCGAGUAGUC
rnacentral:rRNA from 1 species